GUCCAUCGAAAGCUGCAGCCAUGAUUGGUGUCCUUCCAUUAUCGCCUUUGAGGUUUAUAUUAGAAUCUGAAAACAGAUGUUCAACCAAAGCUGUGUUUCCUCCCUGACAGGCAAGGUGAAGUACACUAUCACCAAAUGUAUCAAGCAUAGAGAGGUCUGCGCCCUUUGAUUCGAGGAAGUCAAACACGCUUUUGUGUCCUUUGGGAGCUGCAGCCAUGAUUGGUGUCCUUCCCAUUUUGCCUUUGAGGUUUAUAUUAGAAUCUGAAAACAGAUGUUCAACCAAAGCUGUGUUUCCUCCCUGACAGGCAAGGUGAAGUACACUAUCACCAAAUGUAUCAAGCAUAGAGAGGUCUGCGCCCUUUGAUUCGAGGAAGUCAAACACGCUUUUGUGUCCUUUGGGAGCUGCAGCCAUGAUUGGUGUCCUUCCCAUUUUGCCUUUGAGGUUAAUAUCAGAAUUGGACACCAGAUGAUCAACCAAAGCUGUGUUGCCUCCCUCACAGGCAAGGUGAAGUACACUAUCACCAAAUGUAUCAAGCAUAGAGAGGUCUGCACCCUUUGAUUCUAGGAAGUCAAACACACUUUUGUGUCCAUUGAAAGCUGCAGCCAUGAUUGGUGUCCUUCCAUUACGGCCUUUGAGGUUUAUAUUAGAAUCUG